GACGAACGCUGGCGGCGUGGAUUAGGCAUGCAAGUCGAACGGUAUCAUCCUUUCGGGGGUGAGAGAGUGGCGAACUGGUGAGUAACACGUAGGUUAUCUACCCUCAAGACGGGGACAACCCAGGGAAACUUGGGCUAAUACCGGAUGUGAGCAACUUUUAGUUGUUUGAAAGGUGGCGUAAGCUGUCGCUUGGGGAUGAGCCUGCGUCCUAUUAGUUAGUUGGUGAGGUAACGGCUUACCAAGGCGAUGAUAGGUAGGCGGCCUUAACGGGUGGUCGCCCACACUGGGAUUGAGAUACGGCCCAGACUCCUACGGGAGGCAGCAGUCGAGAAUAGUCUACAAUGGACGGAAGUCUGAUAGUGCGACGCCGCGUGAACGAAGAAUCCCUUCGGGUGUAAAGUUCUUUUAUACGUGAGCAGUGUCCUUUAUAUUAAUAGUAUAAGGGGAGAGAUAUUAGCGUAUGAAUAAGCAACGGCUAACUCCGUGCCAGCAGCCGCGGUAAAACGUCUAACUG
rnacentral:rRNA from 1 species